rnacentral:tRNA from 1 species
GUCCACAAAGCAAAGAGGGUAAAGCAAACGACUGAAAAUCCUCGUGUCACCAGUUCAA